GACGAACGCUGGCGGCGUGCUUAACACAUGCAAGUCGAACGGAAAGGCCCUGCUUUUGUGGGGUGCUCGAGUGGCGAACGGGUGAGUAACACGUGAGUAACCUGCCCUUGACUUUGGGAUAACUUCAGGAAACUGGGGCUAAUACCGGAUAGGAGCUCCUGCUGCAUGGUGGGGGUUGGAAAGUUUCGGCGGUUGGGGAUGGACUCGCGGCUUAUCAGCUUGUUGGUGGGGUAGUGGCUUACCAAGGCUUUGACGGGUAGCCGGCCUGAGAGGGUGACCGGCCACCUUGGGACUUAGGUUCCGGCCAGACCCCUACGGGGGGGAGGCGUGGGGAAUAUUGCACAAUGGGCGGAAGGCUGAUGCAGGAACGCCGCGUGCGGGAUGACGGCCUUCGGGUUUUAAACCGGUUUCGCCUGGGACGAAGCGGGAGUGACGGUAAUGGGUAAAGAAGCACCGGCUAACUACGUG
rnacentral:rRNA from 1 species